rnacentral:rRNA from 1 species
AUUGAACGCUGGCGGCAGGCCUAACACAUGCAAGUCGAGCGGCAGCGGAAAGUAGCUUGCUCCUUUGCCGGCGAGCGGCGGACGGGUGAGUCAUGUCUGGGAAACUGCCUGAUGGAGGGGGAUAACUACUGGAAACGGUAGCUAAUACCGCAUAACGUCGCAAGACCAAAGAGGGGGACCUUCGGGCCUCUUGCCAUCAGAUGUGCCCAGAUGGGAUUAGCUAGUAGGUGGGGUAACGGCUCACCUAGGCGACGAUCCCUAGCUGGUCUGAGAGGAUGACCAGCCACACUGGAACUGAGACACGGUCCAGACUCCUACGGGAGGCAGCAGUUGGGAAUAUUGCACAAUGGGCGCAAGCCUGAUGCAGCCAUGCCGCGUGUAUGAAGAAGGCCUUCGGGUUGUAAAGUACUUUCAGCGGGGAGGAAGGUGUUGAGGUUAAUAACCUCAGCAAUUGACGUUACCCGCAGAAGAAGCACCGGCUAACUCCGUG